rnacentral:rRNA from 1 species
UACUACGGAGAGUUUGAUCCUGGCUCAGGACGAACGCUGGCGGCGUGCUUAACACAUGCAAGUCUACGAGAAUAAGAUAGCAAUAUCUUUAGUAAAGUGGCGCACGGGUGAGUAACACGUAAGUAACCUACCUUUAGAUUUGGAAUAACCCCGAGAAAUCGGAGCUAAUACCGAAUGAUGCAGCGGCACCACAUGGUGAUGUUGUUAAAGUUUAUAUGACGUCUAAAGAUGGGCUUGCGUCUGAUUAGUUAGUUGGUGAGGUAACGGCCCACCAAGGCUACGAUCAGUAGCUGGUCUGAGAGGAUGAUCAGCCACACUGGAACUGAGACACGGUCCAGACUCCUACGGGAGGCAGCAGUGAGGAAUAUUGGGCAAUGCCCGAAAGGGUGACCCAGCAACGCCGCGUGGAGGAUGAAUGCCGUAAGGUUGUAAACUCCUGUUAGAGGGGAAGAAAAAUCUCGAUCGAAUCGAGAACUGACUGUACCCUCAGAGAAAGCCCCGGCUAACUACGUGCCAGCAGCCGCGGUAAUACGUAGGGGGCA